rnacentral:lncRNA from 10 species
GAUUUCGGCGUCAGACCUAUGAGGCAGGUAGGGAGGGGUUCUUCCUAACAUCCUCAUCUUACAAAUGGAAACGGAGGCACAGGGAGGGACGUUGUCACCCUUCUGAGCUCCCAAUUCACGUACCUGAGGAUGAUGGAUUCACACCUGCCUCGGCCAUGCACCCCAUCACAAAACCAGAAGCCUAGGAGUGCUCCUGUCAUCUUGAUUUUUCUCUCACAUCAGUGAUUCCAAAAUAAGGACUUAACCUGUGUGCUUCUCUUCUUCUCGCUGUCCCCACCCACCAGAGUCUCCCACCUGGACUGUUACCAUUGCCUCCUAACUGACCUUCCUACUUGCAUGCCUGUCAUCAUCUGCCCAUUUUCAACAUGCCUUCCAGAAGACAAAAUCUAUACUUAUCAGCUGAAGUUUGCAUAAAAUGCUCCAGUGCCUUCCACUUGCACCCAGGAUUCAAUCCAAAGCCCCUCCCAGGGCUGCCCAGGCUGUUUCCCCAACCUCCUUAGGGCCAUCUCCUCCUGGCUCCUACCCUCCUUGGCCCACUGCUGCCCCCGGAUCACACCCAGCUCCUCCCAGGACCUCAGCCCUGGCUGCUCCAGACCUUCCACUUGGUCCCUUGCCUUCUGUCAGUUCCCAAAGGUCAUCUUCCCAGAGAGACCCUCCCUGACCCUGGGUAAACUGCGUCUCCCUAUGCUGCUCCAGCCAGCACCCUGUUGACUCCCCUCACAAUGCUAACAAGCAUCUGCAUUCCAUUUGCAUUUGUGGUUGUUUGCUUGUUUGUUCUGUCUCCCCCACUAGACAUUCCAGGAAGGUGA